ensembl:miRNA
CAAGGUGUUCAAAAGGUGUGCUUCCUGCAGUCGAGCUGGAUAGGAAGAGAGUUGGGCAGGGAGUCACAGCCUGUGUGGAAGCUUCCGGCCCAUGACUCUGACCACAGCGCUGGGGCCAUGGCAGGAAAGAGACAGCUUUGCCCCA